GAAACAAUGGGUGUGCCUGAGUCUUAUCACCUCUCAACUAGUUCAGCUGUUUCAACCUGGAACGCUGUGCUCCUGCUUUGGUCUGUUUCAGUCAUUGCAGGAAGUCCUGUGAAGGGUUUUGUCCCAGCCCAGCUCUAACACCUGACGUAAAUAAUCAAAAUAAUGAAUCACCGCGAUAGGCUAUGUUUUGUAAUCAGGUAUGAGCUCGGCUGGAACAAAAGCUUAUACAGUCCUGCUAUUUGUAUCUGGAUCUGUCCACCCAUUUAAGUAAUUAUUCUGUACUAUGGGAACAGUUGAACUUGUUAACUGAUACCAAUGCGGCCGCUGCUAAGAAGCACAGAGUAGCUAUGGACCAGAAGACUGCAGCCAAGGCAGCACUGGUCCACACCUGCCUUGUCUGUUGGAGUAAAUACAAACCCGAAAACGUUCAAGCAGCACUCUGAGAGCAAGCAUCCCAAGUCUCCAAUGGUCCCAGUACUGGUUGAUGUGCGGGCCUAAAUGACCACACACACUGAAAUGGACCUACAUCCGGGACUUGUUCCCGCUGAAACUCUUAACACUUUCAAAAGCGAAUACUGGACAAUAUUUCUAACGUAGAAUGUGGGGAAUGGUCAGAGGCGAUCUACAGAACACUAAUGCCGUUUUGUAUGCUAUUUUGUGAUGUCAUUAAAAAUGUUAUAAAGGAAAUACUGUAACUUGGAAAGUAUACCCACUACAUGGAUGAAGUUUCCAUACUAUGGGUUGUGCAUGUAAUAUGGAAAAUUAUGAACGUGUUUUUGUUAUUAAGAGAGGGAUGUGAUUUGAAAAGUUAUAAUAGAGAAUUGUUUCCAUAACUUUGCACAUCGCCCCGGAGUGACGUCAUGGAGCAAGCCAGCCUGCCAGAACCGCCAGUUUCGUGCAAAAGUUAUAAAUGAUGGGUUAUGAAUUAACACAUGGGACCAGAAAAGUGUGAAGCUGCGUGUUUAAAAUGGUUUGAACUUUGAAUCUCAAGUCGAGGUGGAGACGAUAAACUCACCUCCCAGAAAAUCACUGGUACGGCUGAUUGGCUGUCCUAAGUAAAGUAUUUUCAAAAGCGAAUUUAAGUAGGACCAACCUGUUACUCUGCUCAAACCAUCGUAUAUAAGUUAUCGUGAUUUGACUUUAACAUUAAUCUUGAAGACUGUUAUGUAUCUAAUUAACUAACUAUGUUUAAUUGUUACCCGAUUAAAUGAAUCAUGUAAAACAUAACUCAUUAGGAUCUGGGGCACCACAAGAGCGGUUCUUUAAAACUCUUUAAAUGCACACACGUGCACAUACACAGACACACACACAUGUAAAUAGGGCCAUACAAGCACUCAAACAUAUUCAGUUGGCCUUGCUUGUUAUGAUUUUUUGUUGUCCUUGGUGUCUUUUGUUUUCUGCAUUGUUGUUUUCUGUUUUUCCUUUGUCUUUCUCUUAUUUCUCUUUUGUUCUUUUUCCUGGUUAUUGGGAAAGGGGUGGUGGAAUUAUUAUUAUUUUAAAAUCUUAUUUUCUCGGGGAGGGGGAGGUCUCAGAUGGUUGAGGGGCAGCUCUUGGGUAACUGUGGGGAGGGGGAUCUUGGACGGCGGUUGGAAACUUGGGCCGGUGGCUGAUGGAUCGUUGGUUCGGGUCCCCGUUUUUGACUUUGUGGAACAUCUGUCGACGUGCCCUUGAGCUGGCCGUUGACCCUGGUUGCUUCUGUGUGUCGCUCUGGAUGGGAGUCUUUUAGAUGACUAAUGUGAUGUUGUUGUUGAGCAGCUUCCCUGCAAGUAUAUUAUAUGUUUUAAAUAUUCAAUAAAAAAAUCAUAAUUU